rnacentral:rRNA from 1 species
UACGGAGGAUGCAAGCGUUAUCCGGAUUCAUUGGGUUUAAAGGGUGCGUAGGCGGAUUGGUAAGUCAGUGGUGAAAUCCUGCAGCUUAACUGUAGAACUGCCAUUGAUACUGUCGAUCUUGAAUGCAGUUGAGGUAGGCGGAAUGUGUAAUGUAGCGGUGAAAUGCGUAGAUAUUACACAGAACACCGAUUGCGAAGGCAGCUUGCUAAACUGUGAUUGACGCUGAGGCACGAAAGCGUGGGGAU